ACCUACUUUGACUUUGUGUUAGUGAAAUGAUUUGAGAAGAUGCUUGACUGCUUUAAAGCUCAACUUCGACUUCUUUCAAUUUAAGAUUUUUGUUUUGUAAAUAUUCAGAAUUAAAUUGAGAUAAUCCAUCAUCGUGAUAUACACUAUUCCCAUUCCAGGUACAUUUGGAUCAUCGGACUCCAUCUCACCCUAUCCCUAGCCUCCCUCUCUUCUGUCACACCAGCCCUCCUCAUGUCCUCCUCUACAUCCAUGAACCUUUCUGCAAUCUUCCCUUUUCUCUCAUGUACUCAUUUCUAAUCUUGUCCCAAUGAAAAUCCUACCAACUUCACCUUUGCCUGCAGUCUUUAUGUCAGUGUCACCAUCUUCAAACCAUCAUAGCAGGUCUCUCAACAGUCUUGUAAACCUGUCUCCAUACAUUCUGCAAUCUCUUCUUCGCCUGUCUCGUGCACUGUUCGUUGCUUUGGGUGGUUGACCCCAGGUAUUUAAAGUCAUCCACCUUAAUCAGUCUACUCCUCUUCUUUCCAGAGCAUGCUUCCACCUCUCCAGGUUCUCUUCCGUCCGCCUUCUGUUCUCACUACAGAUCACUAUGUCUGCAAACAUCAAUCCAUGCAGACUCUUGUUGGCCUAAUCCAUCAACUUGUCUGUCAUUAUUGGAAAUAAGAAGGGACACAUCUUUUUCGUAUGUACUCCAUUUUCAGAAUCUCAAAAGUAACAGGACAAAAUAACAAUUUGAAUCACAAGGAUUGUUUUUGAGCCUGAUGCUAAUAUUUAGAAUAACAAAUCCCAUGUAUUUUUAC
ensembl:lncRNA